rnacentral:rRNA from 1 species
GCUACACACGUGCUACAAUGGCGCAUACAAGAGAGCGACCUCGCGAGAGCAGCGGACCUCAUAAGUGCGUCGUAGUCCGGAUUGGAGUCUGCAACUCGACUCCAUGAAGUCGGAAUCGCUAGUAAUCGUGGAUCAGAAUGCCACGGUGAAUACGUUCCCGGGCCUUGUACACACCGCCCGUCACACCAUGGGAGUGGGUUGCAAAAGAAGUAGGUAGCUUAACCUUCGGGAGGGCGCUUACCACUUUGUGAUUCAUGACUGGGGUGAAGUCGUAACAAGGUAACCGUAGGGGAACCUGCGGUUGGAUCACCUCCUUACCUUAAAGAAGC